AAAACAUCCUCCCACCUCAGCCUCCCAAGUAGCUGGGAAUACAGGAGAGGAAGAAACAAGGCACAGGGGAGCUUGAGUACCUGGGACUGGCCUGUGAUGAAGCUGGGAUCUCACUGCAGUUAGAUGUGCUGGGGAUUAAACUGUGCCUGGGAAUUUGCAUUCCAGAAGAGAAGGAUAUUGAACUAGAAGGAUAGGUUUGCAAGUGAAUACUGUAUUAAGAUGUGAA
rnacentral:lncRNA from 1 species